UCCCCCUCCUCCUCCUCCUCCUCCUACUCCCCAUAUCUGGAGCAGGUGAAGUUGAUAGUGAAACGAGGGUCGUGGUCACCGUAGAAUUCUUCCCCUUGUGCACGGCUCGGGCAAUAUUUUCUUAUGUGAUUCACUAGUAACCUGUCUGUCCCUUUCCCUCCUUGGUCUCCCUUCCUUUGUAUCCUGUAAAUAUCUCUCCUUGCCUCCAGCUGUCAACCAGGGAUCUUCUUAUGUGACUCAAGUAACCUGUCUGUCCCUUUCCCUCCUUGGUCUCCCUUCCUUUGUAUCCUGUAAAUAUCUCUCCUUGCCUCCAGCUGUCAACCAGGGAUCUUCUUAUGUGACUCAAGUAACCUGUCUAUCCCUUUCCCUCCUUGGUCUCCCUUCCUUUGUAUCCUGUGAAUAUCUCUCCUUGCCUCCAGCUGUCAACCAGGGAUUUUCUUAUGAGACGCAAAACAGGUGAAAUGUUAAUCAUCAAUGACUUACCUUAACCUACCGCGUACCAGGUGCUGAUGAGCCACAGCUGGGAUUUUCAGUCACGGCCGAGUGGCUUAAAACUACCUAUCAUCCCGGGGCGGUAUUGAUAAAGGGUCCUAGGAGUCCUUUUAGAAUGGAUGCAAGAAGCUGUUUUCCUUCAAGCAUUAGGUUUUAACUUUACUGCAAGGAGCUGGAUUUUCCUUUCACGUAAAAGUCGCGAUUCCUAGCAGUAAACUCGCGACCUCAAGAACCUAGCAGUAAAGUUAGGAUUAAACUCACUUUGAAAGUUGAAUUUCACUCCUAGAACCCUUCAUUAAUACCGCCCUUGAACUCAAGAAUCUCUCUCUAAAGAUGAGCUCCCGGGGGUAGCAUGAACUGAGCAGGAUGGCGUCACUAUAAAACACUUGCCCGCGCCAUACCCGGCUGGGCUGACCAUCAGGCCUACCAAGACAGCCUACCGGUAUCAGGACACCUCUCCUCCAGUAAUUGACCCCUCCUUCGGCCACCUCUUCAGACUCUUUACAGGGGCAGCGAGUGGCGGGCUUUUUUUUAUUUAUUAUUGUUUCCUUUUUUUGUGCCCUUGUGCUGUCUCCUUUGCUGUAAAAAAAUGACCAGAACGUAAAACAAAUAGAAAAAGAGGUGACCACAAGGCAUGACGUGAGCUGAGGUGACUCUCUGAACUCUUUAUUGAUCAGCGAAACACUUAGAGAGGUAUUAUAAGACCUUCGUUUCUCACAUGAGUAUUUCUAAAGGUCAAAGAGAGGAUCAAUUGGGAUCAAAUGAGUGUUUCUUUAGGUUCACGGUACAGAGGAAGGGCCAAACUACCACCAGGGUCAUAAAACUACUCCCGGAAAUGCCCAAAACUCCUAGGAAAGCCUUGACAAAUAGGUGUUUCUUUAGGUUCACGGUACAGAGGAAGGGUCAAACUACCACCAGGGUCAUAAAACUACUCCCGGAAAUGCCCAAAACUCCUAGGAAAGCCUUGUCAAAUAGGUGUUUCUUCAGGUUCAUGGUACAGAGGAAGGGUCAAACUACCACCAGGGUCAUAAAACUACUCCCGGAAAUGCCCAAAACUCCUAGGAAAGCCUUGUCAAAUAGGUGUUUCUUCAGGUUCAUGGUACAGAGGAAGGGCCAAACUA